GGACUGGUCUACCAUCAAUCAUAGACCAUAUCUCAUGAAAGUUAUCAACUUUCAACUGAUUUGUGAGGAAUAGAUGUACUUUCUUUGCAGCCCAUGUGUACUCUAGUUCAGCUAGCUUAAUAAACACACCUAGUGAUGAUUUCUCCAAUUCAUCCCACACAUCAAGACCUAAUCCUUCUCUGAUUUGACCAAUCUUGGACAGAUAACAAUUGUGGUUCAUGCUUCUAUGUUGCAAAGGUG
rnacentral:lncRNA from 1 species